rnacentral:misc_RNA from 1 species
AAGUCGUAACAAGGUUUCCGUAGGUGAACCUGCGGAAGGAUCAUUACUGAAUUUAUGACAAGGUUGUAGCUGGCCCUAUCCGGGCAUGUGCACGCCUUGCUCAUUCCAAUUCUUACACCUCUGUGCACUCAACAUGGGCUGGUCGUAGGCUUUUGUCUUGCUUCACUGUGAGACGGGCUUUGACCUGCCUGUGGUUACUCUACAAACACUUUAAAGUAUUAGAAUGUAACAUCGCGGAUAAUAAACGCAUCUUAUACAACUUUCAGCAACGGAUCUCUUGGCUCUC